rnacentral:rRNA from 1 species
UGGGGGAUAUUGCACAAUGGGCGAAAGCCUGAUGCAGCGACGCCGCGUGGGGGAUGAAGGCUUUCGGGUUGUAAACCUCUUUCGCUAUCGAACAAGGCCCGCUUAGGGUGGGUUGAGGGUAGGUGGAGAAGAAGCGCCGGCUAACUACGUGCCAGCAGCCGCGGUAAUACGUAGGGCGCGAGCGUUGUCCGGAAUUAUUGGGCGUAAAGGGCUUGUAGGCGGCUUGUUGCGCCUGCUGUGAAAACGCGGGGCUUAACUUCGCGCGUGCAGUGGGUAAGGGCAGGCUUGAGUGUGGUAGGGGUGACUGGAAUUCCAGGUGUAGCGGUGGAAUGCGCAGAUAUCUGGAGGAACACCGAUGGCGAAGGAAGGUCACUGGGCCAUUACUGACGCUGAGGAGCGAAAGCAUGGGUAGCGAACAGG